rnacentral:rRNA from 1 species
AAACCCUGACGCAGCAACGCCGCGUGUGGGAAGAAGGCCUUCGGRUCGUAAACCACUUUUACUCGGGACGAAAAAGGSAUAUCAAAUAAAUAUCCCCGAUGACGGUACCGUGAGAAUAAGCCACGGCUAACUCUGUGCCAGCAGCCGCGGUAAGACAGAGGUGGCAAGCGUUGUUCGGAAUUACUGGGCGUAAAGAGUCUGUAGGUGGUUUGUCAAGUCUUUGGUGAAAGGCCGUAGCUUAACUAUGGGAAUGCCAAAGAGACUGGCAGGCUGGAGGCUGGGAGAGGGAAGCGGAAUUUCUGGUGUAGCGGYGAAAUGCGUAGAUAUCAGAAGGAAGGCCGGUGGCUGAAGGCGGCUUCCUGGAACAGUCCUGACACUGAGAGACGAAAGCGUGGGGAGCAAACAGGAUUAGAUACCCUGGUAGUCCACGCCCUAAACGAUGGGUACUAAGUGUGGAGGGGUUAAACCCUCCGUGCCGCAGCAAACGCAGUAAGUACCCCGCCUGGGGAGUACGGCCSAAGGUUGAAACUCAAA